AAUGAACGCUGGCGGCAUGCCUAACACAUGCAAGUCGAACGAAGGCUUCGGCCUUAGUGGCGCACGGGUGCGUAACGCGUGGGAAUCUGCCCUUGGGUUCGGAAUAACAGUUAGAAAUGACUGCUAAUACCGGAUGAUGUCGUAAGACCAAAGAUUUAUCGCCCAAGGAUGAGCCCGCGUAGGAUUAGCUAGUUGGUGGGGUAAAGGCCUACCAAGGCGACGAUCCUUAGCUGGUCUGAGAGGAUGAUCAGCCACACUGGGACUGAGACACGGCCCAGACUCCUACGGGAGGCAGCAGUGGGGAAUAUUGGACAAUGGGCGAAAGCCUGAUCCAGCAAUGCCGCGUGAGUGAUGAAGGCCUUAGGGUUGUAAAGCUCUUUUACCCGGGAUGAUAAUGACAGUACCGGGAGAAUAAGCGCCGGCUAACUUCGUG
rnacentral:rRNA from 1 species